rnacentral:tRNA from 1 species
GCACCCAUAGCUCAGUUGGAUAGAGCGCUGCCCUCCGAAGGCAGAGGUCGCACGUUCGAGUCGUGCUGGGUGCACCA